CACAGAGGAAAGCCCCUUCCUCGUCGCGUGGUUAAACUGGACGCGAUCCGGUCAUCCGGACCGUCACCGUCUCCUCCGUCUCUCCCGAUCGAAUCUCGCCGCCGACGCCGAGCUGUUUCGGCGGCUGCGACAGAGCGGGGAUGAAGGGCGGCAGCGGAGGCGCGGCGGCGGCGCCGGGGGACUACGUCUACUUCAAGUCCGUUGUCCCGCUCCACAAGAUCUCUAUUGGGUCAAAAUUGUGGAGAUAUUAUGAUUUUGGCCCCAAGGUUGUGCCGCCCCUUGUCUGCAUCCCAGGAAUUGCAGGGACGGCUGAUGUGUACUAUAAACAGAUCAUGUCCCUCUCUAUGAAGGGUUAUCGAGUGAUAUCUAUUGAUGUUCCUCAAGUUUGGAAUCACCAUGAGUGGAUUCAUUCGUUUGAAAAAUUUUUGGACUCCAUGACCAUUCAUCAUGUUCAUAUUUAUGGUACAUCUCUUGGUGGAUUUCUUGCACAAAUAUUUGCUCAACACCGUCCAAGGAGAGUAAAGUCCUUGGUCCUGUCAAAUACUUUUCUUGAGACACAUAAGUUUGCUGCUGCCAUGCCAUGGUCGCCAGUUGUUAGUUGGACCCCUUCAUUUUUGCUGAAGCGGUAUCUCUUGACAGGAAUCAGAGAUGGUCCCCAUGAACCAUUUAUCGCAGACUCAGUUGAUUUUGUUGUGGGUCAGGUCGAGACAUUGUCAAGGGAUGACCUUUCGUCAAGGUUGAUGUUAAAUGUUAAUGUUGCAUCAGUUGGAUCAUUAAUGCUGCCUGACUCCCUCAUCACCAUAAUGGACACAAACGACUACUCUGCUGUUCCUCAGCAGUUGAAAGACCAAUUGAAUGAAAGGUACCCAGGUGCAAGGGGCGCUGUACUUAAGUCUGGUGGUGAUUUCCCUUUCCUGUCACGUCCAGAUGAGGUUAAUUUAUACCUUCAGCUACAUUUGAGACGAGUUGGUGUAGAACCGAGGCCAGAUCUGAUCCAAGGUUUCACACGAAAUGGCAGUGCUGGGAGUUCAAAGGAUCAGAAAGAUGGAGGGGACACCUUCGAUCGUAGUCCUGGAGGCAAUGGCCACCGUGGUUCAGGUAGCCAUGAUGGUGACACACGGCAUUGUGGAUCAGAAUCAUGUGAUUCUGAUGAACAUAUACCAACAAGCACAAUGCUUGCCAAUACGGUACUAGAACUGGUUUUGUAGAAGAUCAUGGAAGCAUAUGUCGCAGCAGCUACAUUGGAGUCAGUGUUGCCAAUGGGAAAGCCGAAAGACCACAUCAACAGAUGGAAAGCACUUCUAUUGCAUUUGACUAAAGUGAUGCAGAGAUCCUAGUUGCACUUUUCUUGUCAGUGGAUGAUCUGAGGCCUGUAUAUUUUUCGUGCUUGUGUUUAUUCUGUCAAUUUGAUUCAAAAGGUUGUCUCGUACAGUUAUAAGUUCCAUGAGAAAAUUGUGCGUACUACAGUGCUUGUGCAGUCAUAAAUACCAGCUGAUUUUUUAAUCA